rnacentral:rRNA from 1 species
CCUACGGGUGGCAGCAGUGAGGAAUAUUGGUCAAUGGACGCAAGUCUGAACCAGCCAUGCCGCGUGCAGGAAGACGGCUCUAUGAGUUGUAAACCUCUUUUGUCGGAGAACAAAACCCGGGACGUGUCCCGGACUGCGUGUAUCCGAAGAAAAAGCAUCGGCUAACUCCGUGCCAGCAGCCGCGGUAAUACGGAGGAUGCGAGCGUUAUCCGGAUUUAUUGGGUUUAAAGGGUGCGUAGGCGGUCCGUUAAGUCAGUGGUAAAAUUGCGGGGCUCAACCCCGUCGAGCCGUUGAAACUGGCAGACUCGAGUUGGCGAGAAGUACGCGGAAUGCGCGGUGUAGCGGUGAAAUGCAUAGAUAUCGCGUAGAACUCCGAUUGCGAAGGCAGCGUACCGGCGCCAGACUGACGCUGAGGCACGAAAGCGUGGGGAGCGAACAGGAUUAGAUACCCUUGUAGUC